CGCGGGGUACGCCUGGUCUUGGGGUUUCUUUCUUUUUUCUCUCUUUCUGUCCUCUGGAAAUGAUGAAAGGAUCACAUGAGGAGCAGGCACGGAGACUCAGGACCCUUGGAAGUCAGAGAAGGCAUCGGACACAUAUGUGUUCUUCAUACUUUUCAGAGCACUUAUUUGAGCAUGAUUUAUAUUUCUUUCCCGAAGCUGAUGGACAACCGGUGCAUUUUCUCGUGGAAAAAAAAAAAUCUCCUUUCUAAGUCUUUCUUAUCCUCUGCCCACCCGUCCCUUCUCUCUCCACGUCCCCGAUAUUAGCAACCUGACGACAACACAUAAGGCAAAGCAGACCUUCGUCGAUCACAGGCAUUUCUGCCCCCUAUGCCCCCAAUCACGGAGGAAAGUGGGUAUGCUGAAAACUUCUGCAAGGCUGCAGGCUGCUGCCCUGCCCCACAGGCUCAGACAAUUUAGGCAGAAUUAUGCCUGUCCCCUUCCCUGACCCCUCAACCAGCCCACAUUUCAAAUCAGAGAAAGAUACUCAAGAUACACUUUGGUCAAAUCAAGAUCGUGUCGAUCCAGAAAGUGAGUUAACUAGCCGUUACCUGCUCCUGCGGAGGUGGGUCCUUCUCAGUAGGUCACCCAAACCCCACCGGGUCCGGCAGGUUGAAAGGGGAGAAAGUGGCAGAACAGCUGGGCUCCGGCAUGGUAUUAUUUUAAGGAUCACCACCAAGGUCUCUGUUUUCCAUAGCUGCCAAUGGUCACCAUCACCCAAGGUUCCUCUCAAGGAAAGGAGGAAGGAAAUUUUCUUUCAAAGCCGCUGUCCAGCCGGUCAUUUGACCCUGACACCCACCGAUGACACUGAAGAACACCCUGCUAAAGCGGUUAAACGCCUCGUAAUUUCCUUUCUUCUCUUUCCCCCGGCGGCUCCGGCGCAACGCCACGGAGCGAUCUUAUCGCCGUGUGAUCAUUAUUCACCGGUGACAACCAGAGAUACAGAGCUCCUAAGUGAGGGUGACAGAUUUCAAACGCGGGGCUGCAGCGUACUCAGCCUCAGACAUAUUCUUCCUCAAACUUUGCCUAGCAAGCAAGUCAGCGGCUUAACCCUUUGCAGCCCUUUCUCUCGCCCGGGCACCGAGACCUCAGCCCGUGGGGGAGCGCUUAUUUGAGAGGAACAGCAGCGCACACGGCUGCUUGGCUGAGGACUUUUUAUUAUGUGUCAUUUUCUAUUCUUGGUUCUUUUCAGUGGAAACAAAUCAGAACCGCCAACUCUGGGGAGCAGUUGGAGAGUUGGAUACUUCUCCUCUGUGGUUAGGGGCUGGAAAAAUUCUCUCGGCAAAGCAGAUCUCUUGGGGACUCACCUGCGGUCCCUACUUUGUCACCGAGUCUGGUAUGCAAAUUGUCAUACGCAUCGCAUGAAUCCCUCUCACACGCGCAUAUCCAGAGCUUCUGCACUUUCCUCAGCAUGGUGUGGCUGAAAGUACAGAUCCGAAAGUGCUAUUUCACUCAGACCUCCGGAUUCAACUCGCUUACAGGUUAUUAAUAACAGCAGAGAAAGAAGCAAGCGAGAAACAUAUUUCCAUGAAAAAAAAAAAAUAAAGCCUUUUUCACACAUGCACUUUGUAGUCAAAGGAAAUAUUUACCACCAGCAAACUCCAGCAUGUCAGAACAUGUUUCUUCCGAAGCAGAAGAGAGCCUUAAAUAGGAGAGAAAAAGCAUGUGCAAUUCAAAGAUGAAAUGAAGUGCAUGAAAGCUUUCCAAACUCAGUACCACCAGCUCGGAGCCUGAUGUCAAGACAACGCUGUAGCACUGUAACACGAAGAUGUAGAGAGCGAAACAAGGAAAUUAGCAAACUCCAUUGGUUUUCUAAUAUUGAUUUUUAUAUAUUUUUAGUAAAUUAUGAUGUUUCUGUCACCUUUUUCUGCUCCCUCCCAAAGAAAAAAAAAAAAAAGAAAAAAAAAAAAAAAAAAGAGGGGACACCUCUAACUGCGGCUGAACGCCACUGAGAGCCUGGACGUGGGAUGGACUGCCAGGAGCUCCUUCCAGAGCCCCAGUGGUCACGCAGUAGGAAGGACUGGAAGGCAGGUUGGUGCGUGUGAAGGGGAAUCUGAGUGCUCUCUUCAUUAAAAGUGUAAAAUAAGGCUGGACAAGGAAGGAGAAGAAUCCUACAAUAAGCAAACGGGCAGAAAAAGAAUAUUCUCCUCCCACCCACAUUUCUAAGUUUCGAAUUUAAGCACAACAGGCAAAUAAACCUCCUUUGAAGAACAGCCCCCAGCCGCUCUCCAAAAAAAAAAAAAAAGAACCCUUUAGACGUUGAGUAUAUUCUUGUUCUAUUUAUAACAGCGA